UUAUCGAUAUCGUUAAACGUAUCAUUGGUGUACACACACACAUAUAUAUAUAUAUAUAUAGAAUAUAUUGUAGAAGAAAAAAAAGUUCAAUUGGAAUUACUUUUGGAUCGGACACAACUUCACCACCAGCCCCGACGAAUGUGGCAACGUUGUACGGAACCAUUAUGGCCGUGUAAAAGGUCAAGCACAAAAUAAUCCAAUCCCAGAUCGCUUUGAACGCGCAAUAAUGUAACAAAAUGUGCGGUGGAGUUUUUGGUGCUUCCUGUCUGUAUUGUGGCAUUACAUCUCCGCUCAAGGACAUCAUCUGUAAAGCAGAAUCCUUCAGAGCCGGAAGAUGGGAGCUGAAUUGCGAAACAAGGACCGAUCUCGAUCUGGUAACCGAUCUUGCGAGUUUGGCAAAUUUCGAAAGGCCACCCUUGCUGUCGUCCGUCUCUAUAGGCUG